UGGGGAAUAUUGGACAAUGGGGGGAACCCUGAUCCAGCCAUGCCGCGUGUGUGAAGAAGGCCUUCUGGUUGUAAAGCACUUUAAGCGAGGUGGAGGCUCUCUUGGUUAAUACCCAAGAUGAGUGGACGUUACUCGCAGACUAAGCACCGGCUAACUCUGUGCCAGCAGCCGCGGUAAUACAGAGGGUGCGAGCGUUAAUCGGAUUUACUGGGCGUAAAGCGUGCGUAGGCGGCUUUUUAAGUCGGAUGUGAAAUCCCCGAGCUUAACUUGGGAAUUGCAUUCGAUACUGGGAAGCUAGAGUAUGGGAGAGGAUGGUAGAAUUCCAGGUGUAGCGGUGAAAUGCGUAGAGAUCUGGAGGAAUACCGAUGGCGAAGGCAGCCAUCUGGCCUAAUACUGACGCUGAGGUACGAAAGCAUGGGGAGCAAACAGG
rnacentral:rRNA from 1 species